UAUUUUCCUUUUCCCUACAUGCAGAUCCUUUCACAUGAGCCAUUUCAUGAAAAUGAAAACUGAUUUAAAAAUCGUGAUAAGUCAUUGUAAUCGUAUGUUUCCAGUUUACCAUACAACAGCAAGCCAGAAUAUCCGACAACAAAAAGCGGGAAGUGUGUGACAACGCCAGCACCAGGGAAAGGGACAUGGAGCGCUCGCAUGAAUAGCAAAGAUAAAUCCUCUCAUCAUAGAAUGGCAGCAAACAAACGAAAUGAAACUCCAAAAAUACCUCAAAUGUUACUAAGUCAUCAUUUCGACAUUGAUUCAAUGCUAGAUGACAAUAAUUCAAGUGAUGAGGAAAGCACCACCAUUGACACUCACCAUGCUCAAACCAUUCGAAAACAAUUAGAAGCUCUAGAAACAAUGUAUUCUGAGGUAUUAAAGUUGCUCGGAGUUCGGAAAAAUGCGAGCCAUCACUACCAGCCCUCUGACCCUCGCAUUCAUCGCAGGCGACUGCAUGGAAGCAUGUCAUCUUUGCCCUCCUCAGUCAGUAGCCGACCAAUCAGAGACAAGCACAGACGAACUGAUGAACGUAAAAAAGUUAAAGAUAUACGGGGGAUCAACAAGCGAUUCCAGAGAUUGGAAUCUCACGUUGUUACUUUGGCACGUUCAGUGGCUCAUCUUUCCUCGGAAAUGCGGACCCAGCACAUAAUGAUCCAGGAAAUGGAGGUGAUCCGAGGAGAGUUGGCAGCCUUGAGAACACAAACUAAUAUGCUAGCAAUUCGGUCUCAUUCUACUGCACCGUGCCAAGCCCCAGCUCCAAACACUGCAUCAGAGCAGGUCAACUCAAGCCCAGGAAAAGUCAAGAAAUUAACAAAAUUCUUUGGCGAGGAGCCUCCACUGAUGAAGCUGUUUUUGGAGAAAUUAGGCUAUGAGAAAUACGCAAAAGUCUUUGAAAAAGAGCGGAUUGGCUUUGUUGAGCUACCAUACUUGACGGAAGAACGACUCCAUAAACUCGGAAUCCCUCUUGGGCCACGCUUACGGAUCAUGCAAGAGGCACAGAUGGGAUUCCCUACUUUUGAGAACACGCUCUGCGUUAUUUAAAACAAUAUCAGUAAUGGUCAAAAAAUUAGAGAGCCAACAGAUACACGAUUAAAGUCGACUUCAGGCAAAAGUACAAGAGCUUUGUGUAUUUAUAAAGGGUACACUUGGGUUUGUGUUCAGACUCUUCUAGGGACUCCUGAAGAAUUUCUCCUACUCCAAAAGAUUCUGAAAGGCCUUUACUGAAGCAAUUUUUUUCCCUGGUAAUUUUGCUCAGGUGUUGUAACUCAAAGAAUACAGUAAGUAUACUUGAUUCAUGUAAAUGUGUACACAAAACAAAAAAUUGGAUGCCUAGUUUUUCUUUGUAAAUAAUUCCUUAUUUCUCUUUAAAUUUCUAUAGAUUUUUACAGACAACUUAGGAUAGUCAAAACUGUGAUACAAAUGCAAUGAAUGAGUUUGAAAACCAAUGUAAAUACUUCAAUUCAAGUAAGAUAUAUUGGGUUCUGUGCUUUGAACAGGACUGACCAUGUAAAUCCCAUCAAAUUCUACGGACAAAAUACUGUAUGUUUUGUACAUUCACUGUAUUUAUUAUUUUAUUUAAAAGCACCUAGAUAAUAAGUUUGUGACAGUUGGUUAUUACUUAUAGCAUCCUGAGUUCAAAUUUCUAAUAAAUCAGUUUUUUUUAAAAAAAAAAAAAAAAUUUAGAAGUUCUGUUUUCUAUUCCCAUAUUCUAAGCCCCUGGUCAUCUUGAUGCAAUAUUUUUUUCUUUUUUAAGUUGCAGCAAGAAACGAGAAUCAACCAAAUUACCAAUAGUUGGCCCUUAGUCUGCCAGUCCUUAAUCUUAUUAUGCUCUGAUCCCUAAAUCAUAUUUUAUAAACCGCCUCUUACUGCAAUGAGGACUUGGGUCGGAAUUUUCAGAUGCAAUACUUUGACUGGAAACCUCCUUAAGGAUUCCUCAUGUGAAUUGGACUUUCUCUACGGUUCCGUUCCUAAACAGUUGUAAUUCAAGUCAAGGAAGUUUCCAAAGGUGUCUUUAAAUUUUGGCCUUGAUCAAGCUGUUUGACCUAGCCUCUGAGGCAAUUUUUCUCAUGAACAGCUUGAGAAAGUGAAUUUUAAGCAAAAGUUGUAAUGUAGUCACAGAAACUAGGCGUUUUAGAUAGAUCUUAUUAUUGUUUGCUAUUCUAUGAGCUCAAACCAUUAAACUGCAUUCUGUGACUAACGCAACAGGCCGCCUCAGAAGAAAGUUUUCGUUUUCAACUCUUGAAUGAAGAAAACAGUGCAAAUUGUAGUUGUAAAAAAGGGAUUAAAAUACAUGCAAUGUAAAACAAAAAUUCUAGAUAUGAGUGUUCGAUAUUUUUAAUUUAAAUUGUUAAGUUCAAACAGUAUCAAUUCACAAUAAAAACCUCCUGAAAUAGAAAAAAAAAGUGCACUUACAAAAUUUGUAACUAUUCACACACUGUGUCUUCUUCCACUUAACAUCAGUGAUCAAAAUAGAGAAAAGCAGAAAAUUUACGAUUUACACAAAGGAUGACAGUGAUUUUCAGCUGCACAGCACCUGCUCAAAAGCUCUGAAUGAAAAUAAUGAUAAAAAUAAAUAAAAAGAUGUUUAAGCGAGAAGAAAUUUAGAGUAUUUACAUACUUGAUGGAGUGAAAACGAAACAAAGUCAUGAAAAUAUACAAAUGAAGAUCUUAGAAUGACAUUUAUUUCUUUAAAAUUAUGAUACAUUAGGUAAGUAAAAAUUUUGAUUCAUGACUCCAAAAGGCCAAGUGGCCGAACUCCAUUUUGAGGACCAAUAUUUUGGUUUGAAAUGUGACCUCAUCAUCGAAUGUACCUCAAGUGAUCAAAAUAUACUUAAAAUACAAUAGUAAUGUGAACACAAGGGACAAGUACAAAAUCUAAUAAUGAACAAUUUUACAUAAACUUUCUAGCAAUGGGAAAGUUUAGACAUACUAAUAGAUUCAUAGAGAAAAAGAUAGACUUAAAAAGGAUGACAAUACUGAUUUCAAAAAUCAAAAUUAAAUGAUUAAAAUCUAAUGAGUCAAUGAUUAAUGAUUGAUUGAUUUAAUGAUUCAAUCUGAUGAUUGAAUUAAAUGUAGAUUUAAAUGAUUAGGGAACAUCAUGCCCUUAUUCCAAAUUCAUGGAGAUCUUUUGUAACUUAACAAAAAUCGAUGCAAAAGUUUUCUUUCUCUUGCUCAAAGGAAAAAAGCAAAAUUUCGAUAAAAAAAGAAGGAAAAACAAUAUUGAAUCUGAUUUGUCUUUCAAUUAAAAAAGGGGUGAACGAAAGUAAAAAGGAUUAAAAAAAUAUUUCUUGCUAGCACAGCAAUAUCAAUACUCUCAUUCUGGACUGAGUUCUUUAGUCAAAUAUAAAAAAAAGGCAACAGUAAGGCAAGUUUUAUGAUACAUACGCACUUUCAUCCACUGUAAAAAAUAAAGAAGGCCUUUUUAAGACACUUAAAAAAAUAAAAGGCACGUGACAAUUGCUUGUUUUAUCAACAAAAGGUAAACAGAAGACACAACAUCAUUUCAAAAUACAAGACAUACGCGUUUAACUUCAAUACAUUUUGGGAGUUAUUUGCCUGGGAAACCUAAUUUUCCAACGCCACGCGUCAAUUUUUAGAGCCGUAAGGGUUUCUGAUAUUAGAUCAAGAUACCUUGCGACAAGAAAAAUUGCAACGAAAAUCAAUCCCUUUUGAGACACCUGUUUGGCGCAGAGCCCCUUAUUUUUGGGCCCAAAAGCCUCAUUUGGUUGAUGGGUGGCUCCCAAUGAAGUUAAAACGCUGCAGGGCUUGCUUCCUUCGAAGUGCUACUUCUCGUCCAAUUUGAAACUAAAGAUUCAAGAUUUUGCAGCAGAAGGGAGGCUUGUUUUCAGAUGGUGCUGAGAAUCAGCACUUUUCCCCGUUUUAAACCCAUGUGAAAUAUUAACAUUUCAUUUCACAAUCUGGUGAACUGUUGUUGGCCAACACUUUCACUUGUCCCUGUAGCAACUCUCAUGGUUAACAGUUGACAGGUGCAUCGACAUUUACCGAAAAAUAAAAUUGGAGGAACUAAAAAUUGCUCUUUAUUUACUGAGAUUAAAUUUUUCUGUCUUGUAUUGCAGAGAAAUGUUUGACAUUCAAGUGACAUCACUAUGCCAAUAUUUAUGAUCAGAGUCAAUAAAAUAAAAUUAAGAUUUCCUUCAAGAUUUUUCCAAAAAAAAAAAAAAAAUUUCUGCACUUGAAAUAUAAUUUAAAUGGACAUGUAAAAUAUACCAAAUUAGAAUGAAAUCGGAGGAAAACAAUAGCUCAGACUUAGACUGACAAUAUCUACGACUGAAGGAUUUACACAGCAAAGGACCCAGCGCAGAACUCAUUUACUCUGAUGGACGAGAGAACCAGUCAGAUACACUACCGACUAGAAACAAGAUCCCAUGUAGAACAGCUUAAAUAGUUGAAGAGCAUGAUAGACAGACGCUGGGUCUUUAGAGGCAUUUGAUACCAUUGAAAAGUCCUUUUUAAACAACUCUUAUUGCAUACCAGGUCUUUUCAUUUGUUAAAAAUAUUAAAAUCAUCAAAAAAUAUACAUCAAUUGCACUAUUAAGUCCUCACUUCUGUGGGUAAAAUGACCUACCACAUAAAAAUACUGAUAAAUUCUCACUACUCAGGGCUGAGCAAUUUUCAUGGGAAGGGGUUCCAAGAGAAAUAAAAAACUUGUAUAGGUAAAUAUUGUAUAAAUAAAUAAAUAAAUUAAUUAAUUACGGCAUAAAAGUAGAAUUAGUUACUACUACUAGAAAAUUGAUGAUAGAGUAGACUCCUCAAUGAAUAUUUUCUUGAUAUUUAUCAUCAAUGAUUAGAAAAAUAUUUCCAUGAAUUUAGUGGUAAGUAUUCAAAAAAGUCUAAAAAAAUAGAGCACUCAAAUCAAACUGAUGACUGCAAUCAUUUGCCCUUUUUAAAAAAAAAAAAAUCUUAAAAUGUUCAAAUUGUAACUAGAAAAAUACUUUUGAAAAUACUGACGGGACAAUUCAAAGCUGAAAAAAAAUUAAUUUUAGGAAGAUAAGUAGGUUAUGUUAAUUAUAUGAAUUCCUGCAAGUUUAAUUGAAGUCUUAAAAAAGGCAAAGGUGGCUAUGUAACCCACAAAGAACUACCGAAUUUCAAUUUUACAAAAAACCAAAAUUACGUAAAUACAAUUUUGAUCUAAUUGAGCAGUUGUUCACUGAGAAUGAACAUUGAAACAUCGUAGGAAUAUACUUUGCGGAGAAUUGUGACAGCAAGCAAUACAAGAAUACAUUUAAGUUUUGCGAUUUUGUGGUGAUAGGCACAGCAAAGACUAGGCACAAUUACAUUUUUACAUUGAUUUUAAUUAAGAAACUCACUUAAUGGUUAUUUUCCCUCUGCAAUGGGAGUGUUCCGAAUCGACGCGACACUUUAAACAAUGCAAUAACUCUUGACUUUUAUAACUCAAAGAAUAUCGAUGAAAAGGAAGGAGUAAACCUUUAAUUUUCAUAUUUUCUAUUAAAGGCUCUAACUAAGAAAGCAGUACCUACUACCUGCAUUUCCUACAAAUUUGACUGCAUCUGUUGAUGCAGUGUUCAGUCUCAAACACUAUUGACUUUCAUCUGAUGGAGAAAUGAGAGACAUAGCUGCAUGCUAAUUAAACUUGCCUUUGACUAGUAGAAACGGGAGAUUCAAAAAUUUACUAUACAGCUAAAUCAAUUAACAAAACCAGUGUUACACUUAAAAGUUACGUCUAAAUACAGUGGCCUAGGUAUGAUAUGCAUCAACAGAUAAAACGGUGAAAGAUAAAGUAAACAUGAUUCACUCACUAGGUUGUGAAUUCGGGAGACUGAUAAAAUCGCUUUCAAUAGUUUUUAGGAAAUUUGAUUCACAGAUAUUGUCACUCUGUAAAA
rnacentral:lncRNA from 1 species